rnacentral:rRNA from 1 species
AUUGAACCCUGGCGGCAGGCCUAACACAUGCAAGUCGAGCGAGCGGCGGACGGGUGAUUAAUGUCUGGGAAACUGCCUGAUGGAGGGGGCUAACUACUGGAAACGGUAGCUAAUACCGCAUACCAUUAGACGUGCGCAGGUGGGAUUAGCUAGUAGGUGGGGUAACGGCCCACCCAGGCGACGAUCCCUAGCUGGUCUGAGAGGAUGAUCAGCCAAACUGGAACUGAGACACGGUCCAGACUCCUACGGGAGGCAGCAGUGGGGAAUAUUGCACAAUGGGCGCAAGCCUGAUGCAGCCAGGCCGCGUGUGUGAAGAAGGCCUUCGGGUUGGAAAGCACUUUCAGCGGGGAGGCGUUACCCGCAGAAGAAGCACCGGCUAACUCCGUGCCAGCAGCCGCGGUAAUAC